AAGCAAAUAUGUAUUGUUCUGGAACCUCUCACUUAAUUUUAGAUUUUGAAGGAGGCAUUGUCAACGAUGCAGACCAAAAUGCCUCUGCACUCAAUUGAAUAGACCUACAAUCAAUCAGAGCAACUAAACAAGCAAGUUGGGGUGGUUCUUGGUCCGUUUUGAAGCAGGAAAAAAACAGUGGACCUCUCACAGUAACACAAUCUUAAGUCAUAUUUCCUCAGCACUGCCUACUUUGACAGUGUGAUCUGAGUUCUGUUUACUUGGUGCAUUGCGCUGGACAGAGUAUCUAAGUUAGGUCCAGUUACCAGGUUCCCAGGAAGUGAGCAGGGUGUUGAAGCAAAUUGAACUUAGUGGUCAAACAGUGGAAUUACGACUCCCGGCCCAUCACGUGACGUUCUCUGGCCCAAAAAUACUUUUUACCAUAAACUUACAGUUCAUGGCAAAAGACAUCUGUAAAUGGAUCAUUUUUAAAAAAAAUAAAUAAAAAAAAACCUGUAUAAUGAUUUGUUUCUCUAUCAGAAUUUGAUCCAUUCUGUCCGAUAACAUCUGAAAAGUCUAGAUAGCCGCACAAUUAAAUCUUUUGACCCCCAACCAAGUUAGCGGAGUGCCUAACUGGAAGUCUCAAGUGCAGCUGCUCUAUGGGCCGCACAGUGCGGAAGCAGUGCCGAUCAUACGGGUAAUUUUAUACGCAGCUUUGGCUGAAUGUUGGCUUCAUGCACCACCGAGCAACUUUCAUAGGAAUGAACAGGGUGCUGCCUCAAACGCUGGAUCCAGUUCUUAGAAUACAUCCAUGCCAGUCAGUCCUCAUCUUACAGUUACAAGAUGAUUGAGAACACACUGCAUAUUUUCAAGGCCUUUAAGACAGGUGGCAAUUAUUGUAUGGUUUCAUUUUUUUUUUUCCAAUCAGUGUAAAUUUGUUUUGAACCUGCUUUGGUGUCAAAUGGUGCAAUUUGUCAAACAAUUGCUAAGAAAUUAGACAAUCAGGGGUAAGUGUUUGAUUUCUCUGUCACAACCCCAGCAAUGAACACAGUGUACUGUGUGGUACUCCACUUGUCUACUUUUCCAUGAGAGUCAAACACAAACUCAACAGCUAUUUCCAACUGCAAUUCUCUGGAUGGUUUGGUGAUACGAGGAAUCGAUUUUUCAACACUGUUUUGGAUUAGGUGGCACCAGCUAUUCGUAAAUCCAUCGUUAAGUUUGUGCAUGAAGUAACUUGUUGUUGGUUUCCAAUUAGUGAUUUAUAAUCAUGUUGCACCAUUAAAAGUUAAGGAAUGUCUUAGUAACAACUCUCUAUGAAGCAUCUGCUGCUCAGUCCAAGCUAAAGAAAAUCACUGUAGCGUCACAAAAUUAUAGUUUUACGUGGGCAAACGAUAUAUUAAACUAAACUAGUAAUCUUUUGUAAAUGUAGGCAAUACUUCGCUUUGUUUGUUUAUGUUAAAAUAAUGUUUUUAGCGUUAGUAUUCAUGCAAUAUCUGAUUAAUCUAACCUAGCUAAUGGUAUUCGGUCAGUUAGUCUGACAUCUGGUUAAGUAAUUUGAGUCAUGUUGUAACUUGUGAAACUAGACUUUAAAUUUUAAAAUAAUUCCCAGGUAUCAGGUCAGUUGUUUUAACCACAUGACAUAUGGUCUUUUACUCUUUAUUCUGAACGUGUCAUACAUUUACAAGCUAACGUUAGCUUUGUUAGUUGGUUCCGUUAGCUAAUGUUAUGUACAACGUUCAGUUACACCUGGCAGUUUCUGGGAGAAAUAACAACCAGUAUCUGUAUAUGAACCACUUUGUGGGAUGCAACCCCUUUUAAUUUAGUUUUGUGAAAAUCUUCACCAAGUAAGACUUAUAUUAUAACUACUAGGCUUGAACUUACAAAUAGCUGGUGCAACAGUGUUUUAUAUUGUUUUCAGAUAUCCAAACAUUGUCAUGUUGGGCAGUUCCGAACCAGGGUAGCUUAAAAGCAUCAAACCCCUCUGUAAUUAGCCUACCAGCAUGUAAAAAGCAGAGCAGUGAUCAUUUCCCUUUUGAAGACGUAAAAUAGAUUUCUAGUGAGCGUUUUUAUGACUUCUUUUUGUGUCUGUAUGUAUAUUUAGAUUACUGAACAUGACAAACAUUGAAACUUCAAACUUUACCUCAAAUUUUCAUAAGUAUCAGUUUUAUUUCAUUGCAAAUGUGUUUUCCCAACUUUCAGUUGUGGUUUUGAACUUGCAGUCUUGAUAUUUUUUUAUAGUUAUCCUCCAGGUGUGUAAGGGUAGGGGAGUGCACAAAGCUGAGGUGGUGCAUCAUGGGUACUUGGUUUAAAUGAGGGAACAGUAAGUAGCAAUACAAAGAGCAAGACAAGAGGUGAAAAGUCAAAACUCUGUCCUUUACAAAAGAAACAUUAUAGAUGAGGAAAAUGUUCUGAAGAUGACUUUUUAUACUAAAGAGUAAAGUUCCUGAAAAGAUGAGAGAGAGUUUUUUGGUAUGUGUAGAUAGAUGGUCUGAGAAAGUUGGUCAGUGUCAAGUUUAAUACAUUGGUGGUUUUAUGUGAGAAACUUUUGUUUCCUUACACUUGAUUUUGUUACUGUAAAAUAUUUUCCUGUUGUAUAUGUGGCAUCGAGGCACUUCAUAAUUCUCUUUAUAUUUUUGUACGUCAAUCAUCGUUCUUGUUCUGAUUCAAGAAAAUAAUUUAAAAAGAUGUAUAUCCUAAGUGAAUAAAAAAGCAAUUUCCAAACCUUU